rnacentral:tRNA from 1 species
UGGCUCAGUUGGUAGAGCAUGGUGUUUGCAACGCCAGGGUUGUUGGUUCGAUUCCCAU